ACCAUGCAAGUCGAACGCUGAAGCUCCAGCUUGCUGGGGUGGAUGAGUGGCGAACGGGUGAGUAACACGUGAGUAACCUUCCCUUGACUCUGGGAUAAGCCCGGGAAACUGGGUCUAAUACCGGAUAUGACUUCUCAUCGCAUGGUGGGGGGUGGAAAGAUUUAUCGGUCUUGGAUGGACUCGCGGCCUAUCAGCUUGUUGGUGAGGUAAUGGCUCACCAAGGCGACGACGGGUAGCCGGCCUGAGAGGGUGACCGGCCACACUGGGACUGAGACACGGCCCAGACUCCUACGGGAGGCAGCAGUGGGGAAUAUUGCACAAUGGGCGCAAGCCUGAUGCAGCGACGCCGCGUGAGGGAUGACGGCCUUCGGGUUGUAAACCUCUUUCAGUAGGGAAGAAGCGAAAGUGACGGUACCUGCAGAAGAAGCGCCGGCUAACUACGUGCCAGCAGCCGCGGUAAUACGUAGGGCGCGAGCGUUAUCCGGAAUUAUUGGGCGUAAAGAGCUCGUAGGCGGUUUGUCGCGUCUGCCGUGAAAGUCCGGGGCUUAACCCCGGAUCUGCGGUGGGUACGGGCAGACUAGAGUGCAGUAGGGGAGACCGGAAUUCCUGGUGUAGCGGUGAAAUGCGCAGAUAUCAGGAGGAACACCGAUGGCGAAGGCAGGUCUCUGGGCUGUUACUGACGCUGAGGAGCGAAAGCAUGGGGAGCGAACAGGAUUAGAUACCCUGGUAGUCCAUGCCGUAAACGUUGGGCACUAGGUGUGGGGGACAUUCCACGUUUUCCGCGCCGCAGCUAACGCAUUAAGUGCCCCGCCUGGGGAGUACGGCCGCAAGGCUAAAACUCAAAGGAAUUGACGGGGGCCCGCACAAGCGGCGGAGCAUGCGGAUUAAUUCGAUGCAACGCGANNANCUUACCAAGGCUUGACAUGUNCUCGAUCGCCACAGAGAUGUGGUUUCCCNUUUGGGGCGGGUUCACAGGUGGUGCAUGGUUGUCGUCAGCUCGUGUCGUGAGAUGNUGGGUANUCCCGCAACGAGCNCAACCUCGUUCCAUGNUGCNGGGGGU
rnacentral:rRNA from 1 species